CAUCAAAAUUUCGGCCAUAUCAAGAGGGACCCACCAAAUUUCUUGAUAGAUGUUGAAAUGAUUACAUUUGAUCUUUCUUGGAUUCCUUGAGAUUUUUGUAAUCAUGGAAGAUCUUGUUAGAUUCCUUUUUUUUGCCUAUAAAUACCACCAUACUCCCCACAACACUUCACUCAACAAUCACCUCUCUCUCUCCUCCCUCCCAACCGUCCCCCAUCUCUCUCUCUCCAUCUUCAAACCUUCAAACUCUUGUUCUUCAUGUUCAUCACUAUUUCUAGCAACCUUCAAGUGGUGUGAAGAUUCAAGGGUGAUCUCAAGGUGUUCUCUAGUGAUUCAAGCUUCCCAUCAUCUUCACACUAGAAUUUCUACCCUAGCCUUGUGCUAGUAGAGCUGUUGCUUAGGAUGUUCGUGACACACUAGGGCGGACCUAUGCCUUAGAGACUAAAAUAAAGAUGGAACUAGUUUAAUUAUGUGAUGAACACUUUGUUUCAGUUAAUUUAAGACUAUGUAACCUUUGCUUGAUGAAUAAAACAUAACUUUUAAUUACCAUGGUUGUGAAACAAUAAUUCUGUUA